GACGAACCGAGCGAACGUUAUUCGGAAUCACUGGGCUUAAAGGGUGCGUAGGCGGGCCCGUCAGUCAGGGGUGAAAUCCCACGGCCCAACCGUGGAAGUGCCUCUGAUACUGCGGGCCUGGAGGGGGAUAGGGGCGUGCGGAACUUCCGGUGGAGCGGUGAAAUGCGUAGAUAUCGGAAGGAACACCGGUGGCGAAAGCGGCGCGCUGGAUCACUACUGACGCUGAGGCACGAAAGCCAGGGGAGCAAACGGG
rnacentral:rRNA from 1 species